GUGCAGCAGCCGCGGUAAUACCGGCAGCCCAAGUGAUGGCCGAUCUUAUUGGGCCUAAAGCGUCCGCAGCUGGCCGAACAAGUCCGUCGGGAAAUCCACGUGCUUAACACGUGGGCGACCGGCGGAAACUGUUCGGCUUGGGGCCGGAGGACCCGAGGGGUACGUCCGGGGUAGGAGUGAAAUCCUGUAAUCCUGGACGGACCGCCGGUGGCGAAAGCGCCUCGGGAAGACGGAUCCGACAGUGAGGGACGAAAGCCAGGGUCUCCAACCGGAUUAGAAACCCUAGUAGUCC
rnacentral:rRNA from 1 species